rnacentral:rRNA from 1 species
AGCGAACGCUGGCGGCAGGCCUAACACAUGCAAGUCGAACGAACUCUUCGGAGUUAGUGGCGGACGGGUGAGUAACACGUGGGAACGUGCCUUUUGGUUCGGAAUAACUCAGGGAAACUUGUGCUAAUACCGAAUGUGCCCUUCGGGGGAAAGAUUUAUCGCCAUUAGAGCGGCCCGCGUCUGAUUAGCUAGUUGGUGAGGUAACGGCUCACCAAGGCGACGAUCAGUAGCUGGUCUGAGAGGAUGACCAGCCACACUGGGACUGAGACACGGCCCAGACUCCUACGGGAGGCAGCAGUGGGGAAUCUUGCGUAAUGGGCGAAAGCCUGACGCAGCCAUGCCGCGUGAAUGAUGAAGGUCUUAGGAUUGUAAAAUUCUUUCACCGGGGACGAUAAUGACGGUACCCGGAGAAGAAGCCCCGGCUAACUUCGUG